CCUACGGGGGGCUGCAGCUAAGAAUCUUCCGCAAUGGGCGAAAGCCUGACGGAGCGACGCCGCGUGAACGAAGAAGGCCGUGAGGUUGUAAAGUUCUUUUCGGGAGGGGGAACGAGGCUGCCAGGCAAUGGGCGGCCGAUGACGUGAAUCCCGGAAUAAGCCCCGGCUAACUACGUGCCAGCAGCCGCGGUAACACGUAGGGGGCGAGCGUUGUUCGGAAUCAUUGGGCGUAAAGGGCGUGCAGGCGGCCGCCAAAGUCCGGCGUGAAAGACCCAGGCUCAACCUGGGGGGUGCGCCGGAUACUGGGCGGCUUGAGUACAGGAGGGGACGGCGGAAUUCCAGGUGUAGGGGUGAAAUCUGUAGAUAUCUGGAGGAACACCGAUGGCGAAGGCAGCCGUCUGGCCAUGUACUGACGCUGAGGCGCGAAGGUGCGGGGAGCAAACAGGCUUAGAUACCCCUGUAGUC
rnacentral:rRNA from 1 species